CUGCGCCCGGCCUGUUUUCAUAACUUUUGAAUUCCAUGGUCAUUUGGGGCUACAGUAAGCACUCAGCUCUAUAAUUACCAGCCCGCACACCCCCAGAGUGGGAGACAGACCUUGACGCCUGCACACUGAGGAUUGUGUCUACAUUUGCUUCACCCCAAGGGACAUGAGGACCCACUGCUGGGUCCAGCCAGAUGGUAAAACCUGAACUUCCAAGAAUCCCAAGCAGGGUUGGAAUUACCAGGAUUGAUUGAGGUCAAAAUCACCCUUCACUCUGUCUGUAUCUACAAGAAUGAAAUUAACAUCCUGCAGAAAUAUUUCAUACUAUGCAUACUAGGCAAAUAAUGAUCCCCCCAAAGGUGCCUGCACUAGAGGGAUUUGAAACAUGAGAAGGACUCAACCCGCUAUUAUGGCUUUGAAGAUGGAGGAAGAGGGGGCCACAAGCCAAGGAAUGUGGAUAGCCUCUGGAAGCUGAGAACAACCUCUGGCAGCCAGCCAGCAAGAGAACAGGGACCUCAGUCCUGCAACCACAAGGACCUCAAUUCUGCCAAAAGCCUAAAUGUCCCUGGAAACAGAUGCUCCCCUGGGGCCUCCAAAAAGAAAUGCAGCCCUGCCGACACCUUAACAUCAGCCUUUUAGAUCAGUAGAAGGUCCCUGUCUGUGAAUUAGAACCC
rnacentral:lncRNA from 1 species